rnacentral:rRNA from 1 species
UACGUAGGUGGCAAGCGUUGUCCGGAUUCACUGGGCGUAAAGCGCGCGCAGGCGGUCUUCUACGUCUGGGGUGAAAACCCGGGGCUCAACCCCGGGACUGCCUUGGAUACGGGAAGACUUGAGGAUCGGAGAGGCAAGGGGAAUUCCACGUGUAGCGGUGAAAUGCGUAGAGAUGUGGAGGAACACCUGUGGCGAAGGCGCCUUGCUGGCCGAUUUCUGACGCUGAGGCGCGAAAGCGUGGGGAGCAAACAGG